AAGCCAGCCAAUGAGUCUGCUUACCUGAAUGUGUUUCUGCAAAAACUCAUACAAAGCUGGCAAUUUAGAGUAGUCAUGUUACAAGCCUUAAAGACACAGAAGUCAUUAAGGUCCCUGAAAAUGGCUAUAAGA